rnacentral:rRNA from 1 species
CCUACGGGACGCAGCAGUGAGGAAUAUUGGUCAAUGGGCGGGAGCCUGAACCAGCCAAGUCGCGUGAGGGAAGACGGUCCUAUGGAUUGUAAACCUCUUUUGUCGGGGAGCAAAAAGACCACGUGUGGUCAAAAGCGAGAGUACCCGGAGAAAAAGCAUCGGCUAACUCCGUGCCAGCAGCCGCGGUAAUACGGAGGAUGCGAGCGUUAUCCGGAUUUAUUGGGUUUAAAGGGUGCGUAGGCGGGACGGUAAGUCAGCGGUAAAAAUGCGGAGCUCAACUCCGUCGAGCCGUUGAAACUGUCGUU